rnacentral:rRNA from 1 species
GACGAACGCUGGCGGCGUGCUUAACACAUGCAAGUCGAACGAAGUGGCGAAAGGGUGAGUAACGCGUAAUCAACCUGCCCUUCAGAGGGGGACAACAGUUGGAAAAGACUGCUAAUACAGCAAAGCGAAGGAGGGGGAUGCGUCUGAUUAGCUAGUUGGAGGGGUAACGGCCCACCAAGGCGAUGAUCAGUAGCCGGUCUUGGAGGAUGAACGGCCACAUUGGGACUGGGACACGGCCCAGACUCCUACGGGAGGCAGCAGUGGGGAAUCUUCCGCAAUGGACGAAAGUCUGACGGAGCAACGCCGCGUGAGUGAUGACGGCCUUCGGGUUGUAAAGCUCUGUUAAUCGGGACGCGGUACCGGAAUAGAAAGCCACGGCUAACUACGUGCCAGCAGCCGCGGUAAUUC